rnacentral:lncRNA from 10 species
UUUAAAUCACCUCCAGGUCACUAGGCUGAAAACCGCUGUCAUUUCUCCUGGAACAAAUAUUCUCUACCUUACUCUAGCACCACAUUAUUAAAUGGAGAUAACAAUAUUUAUGCCCUUCCCAAGGGGUAACAGGGAUGGACAGCUCUCCUGGGUUGGGCCUGCUUGGAUGAGGAAGUGACAAGCAGUGGGGAAACAGGGAUUUAUGUGUGAGCGAACAGCAGGCAGCUGUCUCCUCGGCAGCGGCUGCCACCGGGAACUACAAGGCAACGUGAAGCCUGUGCUAGAAAAACCCCUCCUGGGCCGGUCCUGCAAGCAGCCAAGAUGCGGUUAAAGAUUCCAAUUCUGAUGGGAUCCCAUGUCUCCUAGGUUACAGCUGAGGACUGUGUUUUCCUUUAUUACAACAGAAAAUGUGUGUUCCCCAGGGACUGUUCAAACAUCUGUAUGAGCAUUUCAGGCCCACCCAGACAAACCAGGAUUACGCCCUCAUCUCAAGAUCCUUAAUUUAAUCACAUCUACAAAGAUCUUUUGGACCUGAUGUCUUUGGGGAACGUUUUCAGUCUACUAUGCCUUUUAUGGAUCAGACAUUGUGCUAAAUGCUGAGAACAUAGCAGAUAAAAAGACCCUAUUGUACUCCCAAGGAAUGAAAGAUUAUUAAGGAUCACAGACUCUCAGAUUUGGACAAGACAUUAGAAAUGCGGUUCUCAAAGUGUAGUCUCCGGACCACCAACAUCACCGGAGAAUUUUUUGGAAAGGUAAAUUCUUGCCCCCCACCCACCUUCUGAGUCAGAAGCUCAGUGGUGGAACCCAGCAGUCUGUGUUUUAACAAGCUUUCCAGGUGAUUCUGAUGCACAUAAUGUUUGAGAGCCACCAGUCUAGUGGGAAUGAACUUUUUUAUUUUAGUGUUCUUUCCCCAGCAUCUCUGCUAAAUUAUAUCCAGCUUUGGCUUAAAUACUAACAAUUUAUAUACCUGCCCACUGCAUUGCUUACUGUUAAAAUGGUUAAAAAUGGCUCAGAAUUACUAACAUAAGAUCUAAGAUUAUUACCAUUAACCCUACAAACACCAGACAUCACCAAUAUUCUCCACCUUAGCAACAGUUUCAAUUUGCACAGCCCCACGCUUGAGUAAUUAAGCAGCUAAUGAUUAAAUGCCAACUUCUGGUCUAGAGCACUGUCCUGGGCACAGAAAGGAAUACAAAAGGAUAUAACACACAGAUUCUGGCUUUAAGGAUGUGAUGAUGAAAAUGGAGAAACCCACCAAAGGCAUGUGAAGUGCUGAUGGAAAGUAGCAGCAGAUACCUGUACCUGGCUUAGAGAUGAAGAGGAGAGUUCAUUCUGGGCUUGCCUGUUUCCAUCUGUUAUGUUCCAGCUGACUGAAUUUGGGCCCAUCAUUUUACCUCUCUGUGGUUCAGUUUCUUCAUCCAGAAAGUGAGGCAAAUAAACUGGAGCAUGUCUAAUCAUCUAUGACUCUGAGUACAGCCAGAAGUGCUACCAGAAUUCAAAAUAAUGAUAAUGCCUAAUACGGAAUGAGUUGGGGCAAGUACUGGUUUAAAACUUUGUGAUUCAUUUAUUCUUCAUUUCAACCCUGAGAGGUUCUGGCAUCAUUUCCAUUUUAUAGAUGGGAAACUGAGGCACAGAAAAAUUUUAAAUUACUUUCUUAAGAUCAUACAGCUAACAAGUAGCAAAGCUGGGAUUUAAACCUGUACUCUUAACAAUAUGCUAUAUGCGGCCGGGCGCGGUGGCUCACGCCUGUAAUCCCAGCACUUUGGGAGGCCGAGACGGGCGGAUCACAAGGUCAGGAAAUCGAGACCAUCCUGGCUAACACGGUGAAACCCCGUCUCUACUAAAAAUACAAAAAUUAG